AGGAAGAGCGAACGCCGGGGAAAGCCGGGCUCUGCCGGCGGCGUGUGUGAGGGCAGCUGCCCCGUUGCCUUCCGGGAGCACGCCCCAAACGCGGCGAGGGGGGGAAGGCGUCCCUUCCCUGCGGAAGGCCUGCUGAAAUGGCGGCGGGAAAGCGUCCUCCUCGGUCCCGAGUCCGGCCCUCACCGCGCCCCGGGUCGGCCGGCGCAGGGGGGGUUGCCUGGCCGUCUGGCCUGGCUGCUGUUCCCGGUGGAAAGGGACCCUUGGGUGACUAAAAGUGCCCAGUUAAAGGUCCUAAAAGGCGGAUGGUGGACUGAAAGCGGUUGUGUAUUUAUUAUAGAUGGGAGCACGCGCCUCAGAAAAAUUGGGUGCCUAUAGAUGCUUCGAGUGGGUAGAGCGAGACUGCGGAGAGAGACAUCUCAUCUCCCCGAGACGUGUCUGCUCGGGCUGUAGAGCCCACAUCCCGAGGAAAGGCCCAGCUAACGACGGUGUUAACAAUGAGUUAGUUACCUGGGAAUUGUCCUGGAGGAGAUAGGAACAGCAUUCACUUCACGAAGCAGGGGCAUGUCAUGGGGACUGUUGCACGGAGGAGGAGUAUAAGCCGUUCCGAGGCUGACAGCAUCACAUGCAGAAGCGUUCAUUUGCGCAUCACAUGAAGUAUGAUUUCAAGACAAACCACCGUUGUAUAAUAUCUACCUACCUGCAUAAUACUGUAUAAUUAUUUCCAGUACACUUAGUAUCAUGUAUAAUUACUUCCAGUACACGUAAGAUGAAAAAAAGCUUUUUUAAACACACAGGCAGUACUUUGGAUGAUGUUAUUAGUUUAGCUCUGUAGCAAUAUCCCCAGCCCCAAUACUUGACUAAUUUCUCUGAACAGUCCAAAGGAAAAUCUUCUGGAUUCAACUUGGAAAAAAAAAAAAUGUUUGCUAGAAAAGCAUUUUGUGGAGAAGAAAUAUCUCCUCCUGAAAAACAUCUUUUGCCUAAACUUAGCAACAUGGAACUUUACUAAGAGUAGACUCCAUCCAAAUUCCCCUUGAACCCUCCCUUUGCUGCAACAAGAUCUGUUUUAUAACUAGGCCAUUUUAUUAUUUCUUUAUCUCUUGAAUAGCUGCUUUUCAGUCCCGGGUAGGGGCUGUUCCCCGUUCCUGACGCAGUAUCCACCAAUCACAAAGCAAAUUAGCAUUUAUUUGGGAAAUGUGACCAGGGAGUGUGACUUUAGGAGAUUUUCAAUCUGUUGUGGCUUUUUUGUUGUUUUUGUUUGUUUUUUAACUUUGUGUUCAGUUGAAGCAAUUAGAAUAAUUGCUCUAAUUAAAUUGUAUGUCCAGUUAACCAAAUACUAGCUUUUCUUUUUUGUUCUCCUUCCUGCUCCAUUUUAAAACAGAAACUUAAUGGAGAAGCCUUGCCUUGUAUGAAAAGGAAUACAAAUUGUCUGCAUCAAAUUGUAAAAAGGAAACAUUUUUUACAGAGAUGGAACAAUUGUUUCCAGGUCUAUAAUUUAUGAUGUGCACCUGUGUCCAGUAUAAUUGACUCUGGAGCAGCAGAUGUGAUAACUGCUUCCUUUUGAGCGAGGAGGCCUCCAGGCAUUUCCUGAAGCACUGGAGAGAUUUGUGCUCAGACAAUUAUUUCUUGAUGCAGAAAGUCUUGCUGACUAGCAACUUGGAUUAAAUAAUCUGUUUGGGGGGAGAGUGGAGUACUGACACUGAAAAGAUUCAAGUGAAGGAUCUUCUGAAGGAUCUUCAAGUGAAGGUCUUCAUGCUCUGCAGUUAUAAUGCUGAUUCCUCUCCAAGCUAAAUUCUCAAUUAGUGUAUGAAAGACACUGUUGUGACUUCUCAGUAUUGCUUUAAAACUUCUUUUUCUUACAGUCACCUGAUAUGUGAAAAUGACUGUAGUAGGAUUAAGUUCUGUCAUGAGUCUGAGUGGUGCAUUUCUAGGUUUUUUGGGGGGGAUUUCUCAUUCAUACAAGUGGUUUUGAGGGCUGGAGUUUUUUACGUGAAGAGUGAAAAUCAUCAUAUUUUUUCAUCACUUUGGUCUGUACCAGCAUGUUCCUUUUGCAAAGAACUGGAAUUUCUAGUUUCGUAGUAGCCCACAUGUUCUUUUGCAGUGACUGUGCACAAUACAUGAUUAUGGUGCCUUGACUGAGUCCAGCAUAUCUAAUCAUGUCAUGAAUGCUGCUGGUGGUAAUAGCAGAGGUUGUAGUGUGUGAGUUACUCUGUGUGCAAACUGCUGAGCUGCGAUCUCUCAGAGUAGUAGUGGUGACUGAUGCCCGUUGCAUCCUGUUCACCUUUUCUCGUGCCACUACCUGUUCCCUUGGAGAUGCCCUCUCCUACUAAUUUACCUGUCACUGUGUCCUAAUCUCUGCUAAAGAGGCUCUUCUUUGGUGAUGCCCACAAGAUACAAAGUACUUCCAAAGAAAUUAAGAACUUCCAACUUAUUUCCCAGUUUAUCUUCUUUCCAGCAUCUUCUAAACUGGAGAGUCUAUAUUAUAGGAUUAUCUUUAUAUUCUUUUCCACAGGCUAACCUAAAUGUUUUUUUCUUAGAUAACAACCGUGUAAUACAAAAUAAAAGGAUGUCAGGUGCUCAAUAACAAAGCAGAAGACCGACACCUUCUUAUCCUCUCUGCAUGCCAAGUUGUUUUCUUUAACACAUCAUUUCAUUUAUCAUGCGUAUCAGAAGCAGAAAAUUCCUUUUUAGGCAUAAGGAGAAACAAUAGAGGCAUGACCUGACAUAGGGGAUGUGUGCUAAGUCCUUCCAAAGACUUUGUUGAUGGCUAAGCUUUAGAAAGGACUCAAUUUGGACAUGUGUGUGGCUUAAUAAAGCGACUGAAUUCCUUGAUUACUUGGAUUCCCACCACAGGCAGGAAUGUAGGUCUGUGCACUUUUCUUGCACUGAAAGCGGAUACACCAAGAAGUCCUAACUCCACGAUCAACUUUUCCUGAAAACAACUCACAAACCCCCAAAUACUAGUUGAAUAUUAGUUGGAGCAUUCAAAAGUUAGUUGAAAAGCAGAAUAAAUAAUUCAUAU